rnacentral:rRNA from 1 species
UACGUAGGGUGCAAGCGUUGUCCGGAAUUAUUGGGCGUAAAGAGCUCGUAGGCGGUUUGUCGCGUCUGCUGUGAAAACCCGAGGCUCAACCUCGGGCCUGCAGUGGGUACGGGCAGACUAGAGUGCGGUAGGGGAGAUUGGAACUCCUGGUGUAGCGGUGGAAUGCGCAGAUAUCAGGAGGAACACCGAUGGCGAAGGCAGAUCUCUGGGCCGUAACUGACGCUGAGGAGCGAAAGCAUGGGGAGCGAACAGG